GCAGAGUAGGUACGCGCGUGUCCCAUCCAGUGCCGGAAAGACGGGGAGUUGCUUUCCGGACGAAAGGGCAGAGGCCCGCAGUGCGCGUCCCGCAUCCCGCUGC
rnacentral:ncRNA from 1 species